rnacentral:rRNA from 1 species
CCCCCCAAAACGAAAGUGUGAUAGGGGUUACCCAAAGUGUUCUCUUAAGAACUGUGGCAGGUGAGUAAUGUCCCCCUUUAAAAAGGAGAGGGCAAGGCUGGUGCCAGCCGCCGCCCUUUAACCAGCUCUUCAAGUGGUCGGGAUAAUUAUUGGGCUUAAAGUGUCCGUAGCCGGUUUAGUAAGUUCCUGGUAAAAUCGGGUAGCUUAACUAUCUGCAUGCUAGGAAUACUGCCAUACUAGAGGGCGGGAGAGGUCUGAGGUACUACAGGGGUAGGGGUGAAAUCUUAUAAUCCUUGUAGGACCACCAGUGGCGAAGGCGUCAGACUGGAACGCGCCUGACGGUGAGGGACGAAAGCCAGGGGAGCGAACCGGAUUAGAUACGUCGGUGCUAGAACAAUAAAAAAACUAACACCACGCUAAAAACCCGGGUAGUCCUGGCCGUAAACGAUGCAUACUAGGUGAUGGUACGGCCAUGAGCCGUAUCAGUGCCGUAGGGAAACCGUUAAGUGUGCCGCCUGGG